rnacentral:rRNA from 1 species
GAUGAACGCUGGCGGCGUGCCUAAUACAUGCAAGUCGAGCGAACAGACGAGGAGCUUGCUCCUCUGACGUUAGCGGCGGACGGGUGAGUAACACGUGGAUAACCUACCUAUAAGACUGGGAUAACUUCGGGAAACCGGAGCUAAUACCGGAUAACAUGUUGAACCGCAUGGUUCAACAGUGAAAGACGGUCUUGCUGUCACUUAUAGAUGGAUCCGCGCCGCAUUAGCUAGUUGGUAAGGUAACGGCUUACCAAGGCAACGAUGCGUAGCCGACCUGAGAGGGGGGGGAGGCACAAGGGGAAGGGGAAACGGACGAGAGCCACUCGGGAGGGAGCAGUAGGGAAUAUGAGGAAAGGGGGGCAAAACGUAACGAUCAAAGACGAGGGAAUGAAGAAGGGUAUCGGAUAGGAAACAGAUGUUGUCAGGCAAGAAAGGGGGAGAGAGGGGAAAGUUCACAACGGGACGGUAGAUAACCAGAAAGAGACGGCUAACGACGGG